rnacentral:lncRNA from 1 species
GAGGAAGAAAGGAAAAGUUUUUAUUCGUGCUUGAUUCUCUUUGCACUGCUGCUGGAGUGGUGGUGGCAUGGAGUAAGAGAUCCCCAGGGAGACAUUCAGGAAUCGAUGAUCAAGGUCAUGUGGACCAGGAGCCCUUCCUUAUCAGGAGAUUCAUCUUGCAGAUUACACCUUGUGUUUCAGAAGAGAGACUGGAUUGCAAGAGUUCAAACCAAAAAAUAUUUGAUACAUUUCAGUGAAAUUGAUAGUAUUGAACUUACCAGUGGAAUUCAUCACAUAGCAGGAAAAAAGGAGACAAACACCUAUAUGAUCAUCCAUCAGAAGAUGCCAAAACAAUUCAUUUAAUAAAAUUCUACCUUUAUUCUCAAUAAUAAUGUGUUAUGAAGGUGGCUUCUGAAGUAUAGUAGAAAAACCACUGCUGUUCAGAGUCUGAAAUAAUUGUGGUUGUAUUCAAGUUAAAUAACUUCCAUCUCUGUUACCUGGUAUAAAUUGCUGAAUCUCUCUGAUUCUUAGUUUUUUCAUUGGUAAAAUGAGAAUAAUAAAACUACCUAUCUCAUAGGGUCA